rnacentral:pre_miRNA from 1 species
UUUAAGUGCAACCAUAAGUUUCCGUGCCCAACUUUAAUCAUCCGUUUUAUUUAAUUUUUUUUAUAAUUAAUAUUUUUAUUAUUAUGAGAUGAUAAAAUAUGAAUAGUAUUUUAUACGUAACUAGCAAAAUGCCCGUGCUUCGCUACGGGUAUAAUGAAAUGUUAAAUGCUAUAAAUACACGGUUAAC